rnacentral:piRNA from 1 species
UAUGAGUCACAUUCAGUUUAAGGCUGG